AUUUCAUGACCAGCAUAUUUAUUUACUUAAAUGUUUUCUUUUAUUUCUAAUUUUUGUUGUUGUUUGAAGUGUUUAUAUUUGUAAAUAAGAUUUGUGUUCUGAUGUGUUUAAAAUGGUAAUAUUUCCACAUCAUUCAAGAUAUUACUCAGAAAAAAAGUAUAUGAACAUUCAAGUAGUUAUCUGAAAGAGAAGCAGUUUGUUGGUUAAACUAAAAAUACUGCUAAAGGUUUUUUGUUUUUAGUAAGUUUUAGUCUCUGACAUGAGCUGUGGUGUGAUCCACCGUUCUGAUCCUCUGAGAAAAACCUCCAUUUGGGUAAAUGUGGUCCUCAGCCUUUGUGCUUCUCAUUCCUCUUGCUCUUCCUCCAGUCUUUACUCUGUUAGAUUUGUAUGCAUGAAGUCUUUUUACGAAGGAGCUAAAGGCUUCUUUCUCCUCUUUUUGUUUUACACAGAUGGCAUCUGGGAUUUGGCUUCAUUCCCGCCACAUUUUGAACUGGGCUGUUGAAGGUUGAGGAUCAUCUGCAGCUUUCUGCAUGAGCCAGGCCUUCCUGCAGGUGUUUCUAAUGAGCUCAUCGGUUCACCUGGAUAAAAGCUUCUUCUGUCUGCUGCUGGAGCUCAUCUUUUGCUCUGAGGUAAACAUGGUUCUAAAGCUUGCUUUAAGGCUUUCUUGGAUUGUUCAGCUGCUUGGAUGCUGUGCUGCUUCUCCUUAUCACCGGUAUGAUCCAAUGAUUGUUGCAACAAAAAACCUUCUUUUAAAAGGUCCAGAACUCCAGCAGCACAGGUAUGAGCCUCAAGGGUUCAUCUUGACCUAUGACCCUGAUGCUCAUUCCAAAGUACCAGAUGUGGACUUCCCCUGGACCUGGAGUUACUCCCACUAUGUGGAGAAUAAAACUAGCUUUGCAGCACGGCCUGAUCAAGCACUCAGCCCUGACAGUGUGGAGGAGGGUCCAACCAACCUCUGGCCUGACUCCCCCGGAGGAGUUCUGAACGUUGGUGCCCCAGAACUGGGGAGCAACCCCUCCGUCCCUGAGCAACCUGGGCCUGGACUGAGCAACGUUGGGAUGGCGCGCUCCUUCGGCUCUCCGUAUAAAGCUCUACCAGGUGAGGGUUUUGCAGAUCCGUCUCCACCUACAGGUGUCGCAGAGGAACUUUCCCUCCUCAGUAGGAACCUGAUGGAGGCCCGGCAGAUGCCCCUCUUUCAGGCCUGGAACAAUGGAGAGGUGCCUGUGGACUUGACACCCCCCCCUGUUCACCCCUUAUCUCACCUGUUCCAGUUUGGGAGCGCCUUUCAACGGGCAAAGGACUUUAUUUCUGAUUUGAAAUAUUCCCAGGACACUUUUCCAGAUGCUCCUGAGGUCCCCCCCCUGUGCAACGGGGGGGUGUUCUUUGGGCAGUGUAAACCAGUGACCCAGUGAGGAAACCAAGCUGUCAGUUACUCUGUGCACCUACUGCAUUUCAUAUGAACCUUAGUAUAUGCCUGAGAGCCAACGAUGCCCUCUAGAGGAUAGUGACGGCAUGGCAAGCUGGACAGACUGGACGGAGCCUUCAUCCAUUUGGGGGACCAUCUACAUGGGGACGUUUUCAGCUCUGCUGUGGGAAACCUCAUGAUGUUCAAACUGACACCUGUAGUAAUCCUUGACUAAAGUUUCUUAAAGGAUGUCGUGUUUGUUGUCUUCAUUUCCUCCAUCCCAAAUGAAAGUCAAUGAACAUGAAGCAAACUCGCCACAUCGGCUUCCACUGAACCACAGGUUCAGUAUGGAUCUUCUUAGGCUGCAUUCUCCGGACACAACCCUGUAUUUCAUUUGGGCUGGGGACGAGGAGACCCGGACACGGGUCACCUUGUGGCUAAAUGGGCAGUUUGAAGGAUCUUGCCCAAGGGCUCUCACUGGAUGAAGCUCAUGGGGAAAUGGACCCCUGUUUUUCCCACAUGCCAGUCCUGCUCACAAGCAACUGAGCAGUCCAGCCGCCUUCAUUGGCGCACAUCUAUACAAAGCUCAUUGCAGGUCAAAAUGUAGUUAGAAAUAACUGUUUAUAAACUUAAAAUGUUUCUGCUACACUAAAUACUUUUACCAAAAAGUAAAUCAAUUCACUAAAAUCUUAGUUUUACUUUGGCAUAAAUUUCUGUAAAUGAAGCUUCAGCUGAAAACACCUUGAGUCCUGAAUUGCAGAUUUUUACAGGAAACUGAUCUUUCCAGAUGUGCCGUCACUUUUCAGCUGUCCUUCAAAGGUUUUACAGCUGUUUAAAGGACGUUUUUCCAGUUUGAUUCAUACAAAAACUGAGAUUCAAUAUUCUGAAGUGAAUUUUCAUAGGAUCCUUUGUACUUUUGAAAUGAGGCACUAGAAGUGUUUGAGCCUUCGGAGACCUGCCUUAGAUAACUGACCUGGUAGAGAACACACAUCUCACUAAGAUCCAAAAAUGUAAAGAGCUUUAAGGACACGAGUCCCCAGUAGGUGGCGCUGUCAAAACAAGAGCAACAAGCAGAAUCAACAGGCCUUCAUUCAUGUAUGUACAAUUUAAACAGACAUUUCUUUGAAUUGAGGAUUAAGACUUUCACAGCAGUUUCUCUGAACAGAGGAUUUCAGCUUAAGAGUUAAACAAAUCAAUCUUCCUGAUGCAGUCGUGGCUCCUCCUCCUCUUCCUCAGGGCUCUGUGUCACUCUGCUCAUUGCUGCAUCAUUUAAGUCAUUGAAACAUUACAGGCAGAAAGUGUCAAAUCCCUAAAUUAAAACAAUAAAAUCAUUUCUAAUACUGUUCAACGUGGCAGUUUAAAGGAGCGGUCAGUCUGAGAUUCACACCGACAGCCAUCCUCUCUCAGGUCUCCACUGGAGGGCGGCGCAGAGACGCAGAUCAGCCUAUAGGUUGCUGAAGAGUUCGUUCCUCUUGCUCCAGUCCAUGGCCGGCGCCUUCUUGGCCGCCCUCUUCUUGUGAGCUCUCUCUUUGGCCUCGGCCAGCGACACGCCCAGACCCAGACCCAGGCCGUCUGCGGCAGGCGCCGGCUCGGCCCGCGGGGAUUCCUCCACCUGUAAAAACACACAGACGUGGUCAGGUGGGGGCCGCGAGGAGGCACCGAUCUUCCUCAGACUCUGGCACCUCUGCGGGGGGCGAGCUGGGCGCCGCUUGCUGCAGCGAGCUGCUGGAGGAGACGCUGGACGCUCUGGAGCUCACGGACUCUUUGGGCUUCAGCUCUGCUGCUGCCUGGAAAACAAAAACAUGAAUCAGGAUGUGGAAACGUCUUCAGGCUCGACUCUGUAACGCUUGUUCUAUCCUAGACACUUUAACGU
rnacentral:lncRNA from 1 species